CAUGACAGACCAAAACAACCAAAGCGCGCCUUUAAAGCUAGUCUGAAAACAGGCAUCUGUAACCUAAUAUCGCUUCUAUUUAGUUGAUCUCACUUUAAAAAUUGUCAUAGGAUGCUGCGCGGUCGGCUGCACAAACAGACAAGGAUGAAAACCAAACUUGCCAUUUAACUUUUAAUGAGUAAAGAUACGGCAGCGAUGGAAUAAUGAAUGAAUAAUAAUGACGAUGAGUGAAUAAUGACUGUCAGUCCUCGGUGUAAUCCCGGAGCACUUUUCACAAGAGAUUUUAUGAAACGGAGCAGCUUACCUUCACAGGAAUUAAAGAAAUCAUCUGGCAGAGGAUGAAACUGUACGGACACCUGUUGACUUGACCUGCCAUCCUAAAAUUUUCCACUCCACCAGAGCAGCAGCAGCAGCACACGCUGAUGUUCUUUAAUAUUUACAUCACUCCUCAACUCAACUGAGGACCAUUAAAACCCGGCCUUCAUCCUCAACCCCUGCGAUUUUCUUCCCACUUUCACUCAGAUGAAUUCCCCUCCGUGGACUUGGCUGUUUUAACAUGUCAAGAGCAGAUUGCAACCAUGUAGAUAUUGAUUCUUCGAUCUGAUCCGAAGGCGAGCGCUGGGUCGUGAAAAGACAAAUUAGCUCCAAGCUGCUGACCAACUACUCCAAACCCAAUCACAUCAUCAUAAGCAUCUGUUUGCACUCAGAGCUUCUCCUUCAGGUCUGCAAAGAGGCAAAUCAGACACACAGAGGCUCAGACCCACCAGUCACAUAUCAUGUAUUUACAAAUGAUGGAGAAGAGCACAAAGCUGCACAGGUGCAGCAGGGCCAACAUCAUCUACUGUAACUAUGACAACGCUAGAUUGAUUCAGGACGUGGGAAUCGAGGCAGGAUGGGGCUCCUUUCCACCAGCAUCCACAUUAUAAAAAAAUAACAUUUUCUCUCGUCUCUUGGCUGAUGACAACAUUUUUCCCUCCUUACACGUGAGGUGUGGAAGAAUAAUCACCGGAAAACGGUGAUAAAAAUGCAUCAGCUUGACCGCUUCCUCCUGCAGUCCUCAUCCUAAUCUGCAAUCUCACCUCAUCAUAUAGCCGCCAGCUUGAUAUCUCCUUACAAUAGCACAGAAUGGCCUUAUUCAUCUGCAGCUGCGCUCACUGCGCGGCGCACCUUCUCGGGGAACGCAAUUGAAAUUCUGAAUAGGCCUAAUUCUGCACAUGCUGCAUUACAAAAUGGCUUGCGUCCAUUCUCUCUUCGGGGUAAUGACAACACGACUGCACCCACUAUAUGAAUAUUCUGGAUUUUUAAAAAUAAUUUUUUCGCAGAAAAACAGGCCCGGUGCGGGCUUACAUAAGGGAGUGUAUCAUUUGAUUACAUUAGAUGAUCAAAUCCUAUUAAUUAUUUACCAAAAAUGUUAUGCAUCUUUAACCUUUUCGGGUAUUUCCCCCCCACCCCCCAGCUGAUGACUGACUUCGGCAUCCUCGCAGACAAACAUGACAACACAACACGCCGACCAUUUCAGCCCCUUUUCUACCUGAACGUCCAAGAAAAGCUUAAAACGGU